rnacentral:rRNA from 1 species
AUGCUACGCCUGGAGGAAAAGCUCUCACUUCCACCGCAGCCAGAGGCUUCAGCUACACCAGCGGCGAGGUAUGGGCAGCAGCAACCUCUCCCACAACAAGAGCCUCCACCACAGCAGCAGCAGCAGCCUCCACCACAACACCAACGGCGACAACCACCCUCUCUAGAACAGCAGGAACAUGCUCCAAGGAACCAAGCCAACACAUCUCCACUGUUGAACAGAGGAACUCCAGUUUGGAGGCGUAGGGGACAAGAACAAGCACACCACUUUGGGUGGAUUGAUGAUCAGCAAGCUCUCGUCAACCAUAACCCUCAGAACACCUAUGGGUUGCAGGGCUACUACCAAGACAACCCACAACUAGACGCAUACUUCCCCCAUCCCAACUACAACACACAGGGGCAAUUUCAAGGGCAACAACCAACCCAACAACCACCUCCAUACCAACCAGUUCCUUAA